rnacentral:lncRNA from 12 species
CUUAUAAACCCAAAUACUCAGUGUAUGUGUGUGUGUGUGUGUGUGUGUGUGUGUGUGUGUGUAUGCGUGUGUGUGUCUGGUGAUGGGGUAGUUGGAGGAAGAAGGUCCAGUUGAGGUGGUUACUUUUAUUUUGUUACCCUUUAUUUUCUUUCAAACAAAAUCUACCCCAUUGUACAGGUGGAAGCACUGAGUCUUGGGAUAAUCCAGAUAAUUAAAUCAGAUUUAAUUACAAAUGCUCUGCUUGUUCUCUCAAGAAACAUUCCGUCUAGUGAAAACGAGAGCUGUUAUACAAUGAGUUUUGAGGCUAAUUUUAAAGCAAGUCAUGUGUCCCUCCCAUUGCUCUGACCCAAAUAUGAGACAGAGAUUCAAAGUUAUGCACAAAGAAAACCAAAAUCAAUAAGGAGGCCCUACAUGAGCACUUUGGGUGAUUACGGGAAUGUAAGCCUCAUUUUCCAGCCACUGCAAUGCUUCAUCCCUUGGGAUUCACUUGCUGUUCCCGUUAGGGCAUGGCCCCCCGAGACUGUGCAGAGGGGGAUCUGAACCCAGAGCCAGGCCCGGGGAUGACUCUGGGUCAUUGUUCUCCCCAAUCCUGAUUUCCAGAGCAGUCAAGAGAUACUAAUCUAAUCCCUCUCACAAAGAUGGCUUUGCACUGUGCUCAUCAAAAUAGCUAAGAGGUUUGAACCUUUGUUCUCUUGAGGGGCUGACCGUGGAAGAGGAGAGCCGGGCAGCUGACAGUCCAGCGCUGGGAAGCGUUAGUGCCGACAGAGGGGCUGGCCUAAGCCAACAGAAGCUCCUCUGCCUUUUCUCUGCCCUGCUGGCCCUCAUCAACACCCCAGAACCCGCCUCAUCGGACACUCCCUGGUUCCGCUGGCUACUGAGGAGUGUUUUCUGCGUCUUGACUCAGUAUCUGAAAAGUUGUUUCUAGGAGCAGUAAAUGAAGGAUCGUCAUCACAAUAUCUGCAGUCGUGCCCACAAUACUCUUGGGCAGACCACUGCACUGCUUUGCCUGGGGGUACACCCCACCGCCCAACUAUGCCUGACCCAGGAAGUGGUAAGAAACUCAAAGAAAAUCAACAAUCGUGUGAUCUCUGGAUUUCUUUAAUUUCUUUGCUGGACGAAGCUACCAUCCCUCUAUUCCCUUCUCAUCAGGCACUAAGUGUUUGUGAGUUCUAAUAACUAGGAAAAUUGAGAUGAUCAUAAUUCCCAAGGAAUAAUUCGAGAAGUAGAUAAGAAAGGUCAUAAAAUCAAAUCAGACUCAACUGAGUGCUUAAAAAAAAAAAAAAAAAACUUUUGUUGCAGGAUUCUAAAAAUAGCUCCCAAUGCUGUCCUUCACCUUCACAAUUAUUUUAGUCGUCCUUUCUAAAUCUGAAUGGCACAGAGCAGCAGAAUUUAUACAUUAUGUUCAUAAGAGAACAGACAGCUCAUUAAUUCUUGACAUUGGUGGGAUUUGACUGUUCACUGUCAUAUGCUCCCUUCUGAAAUAUAUCUGGUCUGCUUUCCUGAGAUGAUUAAGAUGUCUUAUUGAUAACCCGAGGGAUAUUAACAACACCAGUACCUUUCUUGUAUGAGACAAGGUCACAGCCCUCCCACGGGAGAGUGUGGGCGACACCCACACUAAUCAUCUCAGGUUCAUUCGUUCACAAGUUCAUUUAUUCAAAUAUGUGAGACUUCCCUAGGUGUCUAGCAAGAGAAAGUCUUUGCCUUCCAGGAGGAAGACAAAUAACAAUGAAAAUAUUACAAAGAAAAGUAAAGCCAAGUAAGAGAACGGAGUGUGUGUUUUGGGGGUGGGUAGAGUGUGUGUGUGUGGGUGAUAUUUUAUCUUAUUUUAACAAUUUUAUUUAUGUAUUCAUGAGAGACACAGAGAGAGAGAGAGGGGCAGAGACAUAGGCAGAGGGGGAAGCAGGCUCCCUGUGGGGAGCCUGAUGUGGGACUCAAUCCCAGGCCCCUGGGAUCACGACCUGAGCCAAAGGCAGAUGUUCAACCACUGAGUCAUCCAAGCACCCCAGGGCGUGGUAUCUUAGAUCUGGUAGUUAGAGAAGGCGUCUUUGGGGAGGUAGCAUUUAAGCGUGGGAACCAGUCAUGGAAAUAACUAUCUGAGGAUGAGCUUUAAGGACAAAGUCCUCUUAAGAUGGGAGAGGAUCCAUUGGAGAGCCACCAAAGACUUUAGGGUGACUGAAUGCAUUGUUGGGAGUGGGAGUAGAUCCUAGGAAGCUGGGGAGGGCCUAUGGAUCAUUGGGAAGAUUUAGCAUUUUAUUCACUGCGAAGCAAUUGUCCAGAAGUGGCCCUGAGGCCCGGGGAAGAUGACCCCUAAAGCUAGUCUGCUCUACCAUGCUCUUUCCCAUAUGCAGAUUCACUACAGACUCUUCCAGUCCCUGAGCCCAGCAGUGAUCACUUCAGGUCCCAGCAGACUGGAAGCAUCUAGGGAUUUUAGGGAGAGUCUCCGGGUCCUGGUGUCUAUGGCUCACACACGUCUUGCGGUUUUACAAUGCGGGUGAGCUGCCCUGGCAUCUUAGGUCUAUUCGACACAUGAGAUUUUUAAGGAAAGCCAACUUUAUUUCUGCUACACCACCACCUCACAUAGCCCUCAACUAUUAUGUGGGGGUAAUUGCUUCUCAAUCUCCUCUGCAGACUGUGUGAACAACAUGUUCAACUUUCUCCAGCCCUGGAGAACCAUGGUGAGUUUUAGAGGAGGUUAGAUAACCUGACCAGGCCACAUUGCAUCUUAGUUCAGGCUGCUAUACCAACGUACCGUACACUGGGUGGCUUUCAACCAGGCAUUUCUUUAUUAUAGUUCUAGAAGCUGGAAGUCUGGGAUCAGAGUGGCAGCAUGGUCGGGUUCUGGUGAGACCCUCUUCUGGGUUGCAGAUGGCCAAUUUCUCCUCAUAGCCUCAUGUGGCAGAGAGCAGCAAGCUCUCUAAUGACGCUUAUAAGGACACUAAUCCCAUUCACAAGGGCUCCACCCAUUACCUCCUCUACUUCUAAGUACUUCCCAAAGUCCAUCUCCUAAUACCAUCAUAUUGGGGCACAGGGUUUCAACAUGGACUUGGAGGGGACGCACAUUCAAUCCAUGACACAUGAUUAUUGAGUGGUGGGGGGAUUUAAAUUCAGAUCCAAUUGGUUGGAAAACCUGUUUUUCUUACUAUCACACUGGCUAAUUCUUCCUGAGUACUUUCAUUCAUCACAACAUUUAUUAAACACCUGCUGUGUUUGGAGCUGUACUGGGCACACACUAGGGAUGUAGACACAGAUGAGAGUUCCUGCCCUCAGGCUUCCUAGAAUUGAGGGGGCUCUCCGGAAUCUAUACUUCAUCUCCCAGAAUGGAGUGAGAUCACACAGAUGCCCCCAUUCCCCUCUGCCACACACCAUUUUGGACUUUCUGAAAUGGAAAUUUGUCUUAUUCUUCUCAUUAAAGAAAUUUGCCGGCUGCCAAGCAGGUUGUGCCAUGCAUGAAUAGCAUCUGUUGACCCAUUUGUCAUUGGUUGACAUCGGUGCCACCUGCUCACACUUGGAUUUCACUUUAAUUUGGAUCCUAAAUGGUCACUUUAAAAGAUCUUCAGAAAAAAAUAAAUAAAUAAAAGAUCUUCA